GUGUGUGUGUGUGUGUGUGUGUGUGUGUGUGUGUGUGUGUGUGUGUGUGUGUGUGUGUGUGUUCGCGCGCAAAUGCGUUACAUUAGGCUGCAGGUGAAAACUAAGUUUUCCGCAGAGGAUAUAGCUCCUCGAUGUGCAUUUAAGGAAUUGGGAUGUCCCUCAACAUGGCGUGCUGAGAUUGAUUUCCGGGUCACAAAUUGGAGGAUAAAGGAGUCGAGGAGGCACAAAUUCGGGAAUCGAGAAAGGCAGAGGGUUCUGAUGUUCCACAGGAGGCGUGGUUGCAGCAAGGAGCGUGACCGAAGCAGAGAGUGAAACGUGCAUUGAUUGGCCAUCGGGAGUACUUUUCCAGGUGGGCCGGUCUAUUUGUGUGGGCUGAAUGGGCUGCACUCCAUCGAAAACUUUCUUGCAGGAGCCAGGCAGCCUCAAGAGUACUCAGUUACCUGCUGAAUGGGACUUUGGGCUUGGAACAGGAUGCGCCGCCCCAGCAGUUCAGCAAAGAUGCAGCCCACAGACCAGAUAUCGAUGGAGUUGGAGUAAUGGCGGCUCCCCAUGAGGAUCUCAGGAGCUCGGUAAUACUGUGUAACCACUUCCUGAGUCAUGUGUCGUGACUCGUCUAACUCCUCUACUCGGGCCAGGCCAAAAUCACAGAUCUGAAAGACAGUCAUUCAGAGGUUACUACAACUGUUAUAAUCUUUUGUCUUCUUUUUACCGCUCACAGCUUUAUUCUGACAAUCGUUUUUGCUUAGUAAGUGUCUCCCCUGCUCAAAUGGAAACAACCAUUGUUUGUGUUGCUCAUAGGGCACAAUGUUACAUCAUGUAGCAAAGUGUACAGUGUUUCCCACACAAAGACAAUACCUUGGCUUUAUUUUGUGCAAUUUAAA